rnacentral:rRNA from 1 species
UACGUAGGGUGCGAGCGUUGUCCGGAGUUACUGGGCGUAAAGGGCGCGCAGGCGGCGGUGCUGGCCCGGCGUGAAAGCCCCCGGCUCAACCGGGGAGGGUCGUCGGGGACCGCACCGCUUGAGGGCGGUAGGGGCCGGUGGAAUGCCUGGUGUAGUGGUGAAAUGCGUAGAGAUCAGGCAGAACACCUGGGGCGAAGGCGGCCGGCUGGGCCGACCCUGACGCUGAGGCGCGAAGGCGUGGGGAGCGAACGGG